rnacentral:rRNA from 1 species
UUGACCUCGGAUCAAUCACCCUAAUCAUA